AAAUUGAAGAGUUUGAUCAUGGCUCAGAUUGAACGCUGGCGGCAGGCCUAACACAUGCAAGUCGAACGGUAACAGGAAGCAGCUUGCUGCUUUGCUGACGAGUGGCGGACGGGUGAGUAAUGUCUGGGAAACUGCCUGAUGGAGGGGGAUAACUACUGGAAACGGUGGCUAAUACCGCAUAACGUCGCAAGACCAAAGAGGGGGACCUUCGGGCCUCUUGCCAUCAGAUGUGCCCAGAUGGGAUUAGCUUGUUGGUGAGGUAACGGCUCACCAAGGCGACGAUCCCUAGCUGGUCUGAGAGGAUGACCAGCCACACUGGAACUGAGACACGGUCCAGACUCCUACGGGAGGCAGCAGUGGGGAAUAUUGCACAAUGGGCGCAAGCCUGAUGCAGCCAUGCCGCGUGUAUGAAGAAGGCCUUCGGGUUGUAAAGUACUUUCAGCGGGGAGGAAGGUGUUGUGGUUAAUAACCGCAGCAAUUGACGUUACCCGCAGAAGAAGCACCGGCUAACUCCGUGCCAGCAGCCGCGGUAAUACGGAGGGUGCAAGCGUUAAUCGGAAUUACUGGGCGUAAAGCGCACGCAGGCGGUCUGUCAAGUCGGAUGUGAAAUCCCCGGGCUCAACCUGGGAACUGCAUUCGAAACUGGCAGGCUUGAGUCUUGUAGAGGGGGGUAGAAUUCCAGGUGUAGCGGUGAAAUGCGUAGAGAUCUGGAGGAAUACCGGUGGCGAAGGCGGCCCCCUGGACAAAGACUGACGCUCAGGUGCGAAAGCGUGGGGAGCAAACAGGAUUAGAUACCCUGGUAGUCCACGCCGUAAACGAUGUCUACUUGGAGGUUGUGCCCUUGAGGCGUGGCUUCCGGAGCUAACGCGUUAAGUAGACCGCCUGGGGAGUACGGCCGCAAGGUUAAAACUCAAAUGAAUUGACGGGGGCCCGCACAAGCGGUGGAGCAUGUGGUUUAAUUCGAUGCAACGCGAAGAACCUUACCUGGUCUUGACAUCCACAGAACUUUCCAGAGAUGGAUUGGUGCCUUCGGGAACUGUGAGACAGGUGCUGCAU
rnacentral:rRNA from 1 species